rnacentral:rRNA from 1 species
AUUGAACGCUGGCGGCAUGCCUUACACAUGCAAGUCGAACGGCAGCACGGGUGCUUGCACCUGGUGGCGAGUGGCGAACGGGUGAGUAAUACAUCGGAACAUGUCCUGUAGUGGGGGAUAGCCCGGCGAAAGCCGGGUUAAUACCGCAUACGAUCUACGGAUGAAAGCGGGGGACCUUCGGGGCUCGCGCCAUAGGGUUGGCCGAUGGCUGAUUAGCUAGUUGGUGGGGUAAAGGCCUCCCAAGGCGACGAUCAGUAGCUGGUCUGAGAGGACGACCAGCCACACUGGGACUGAGACACGGCCCAGACUCCUACGGGAGGCAGCAGUGGGGAAUUUUGGACAAUGGGCGAAAGCCUGAUCCAGCAAUGACGCGUGUGUGAAGAAGGCCUUCGGGUUGUAAAGCACUUUUGUCCGGAAAGAAAUCCUUGGCCCUAAUACGGUCGGGGGAUGACGGUACCGGAAGAAGAAGCACCGGCUAACUACGUG